CCCCUCGUUCGAUUUUCUGAAAAAUCUUGAUCUACCGUGACCUAGAGAGCCAUCACGAUCUCGCCGGAGUUCACCGUUGCCUGAAGCUUUCGCUGGAUGAUGCUAACGCAACAAAAGACAUGCAUCGGAGAAGCCUCACCGACGACCAUCGGAUCUCACCAGAGCCGCCCGUCGCUCCAGCCAGCUGCUGCAGUCAUGACAGGAGGCUCCCUACUACGCCGUUGCCGCCAUCACCAAUGCCUUCCCGCGCCGUGCCUCGUCCGAUCCUCCUCGGAGUCCGGCGACCACCAAGACGAGCACCACGACCACUUCCCUACACCGCGCUGUCGUCUUCCCCAAGUCCGGUCGGCACCCUCUAUUUUUUUCGAUGAGCAUCUUCGUCCGUCCGAUCUGGAUUCAACGCCCAUAUUUGAUCCUCUAUUUUUUCUGCGGCAUAGGUUAUUUAGUUCGUUCAUUAGUUUACUUUAGUAGCAAACAUCCGCCGAUUGUCCGAUCAAGAUCUGACCGUUCGUGUAGAUUUGUUUUUUUCUUUUCUUUCAUCCGAAUAAUUCUGUCUAGUAGUUGGCCGUCCGUCCAUAGUGGUGGAACACUCGCCUCAUUGGCCCAAUCA